rnacentral:rRNA from 1 species
GAUGAACGCUGGCGGCGUGCCUAAUACAUGCAAGUCGAGCGAACAGACGAGGAGCUUGCUCCUCUGACGUUAGCGGCGGGCGGGUGAGUAACACGUGGAUAACCUACCUAUAAGACUGGGAUAACUUCGGGAAACCGGAGCUAAUACCGGAUAAUAUAUUGAACCGCAUGGUUCAAUAGUGAAAGACGGUUUUGCUGUCACUUAUAGAUGGAUCCGCGCCGCAUUAGCUAGUUGGUAAGGUAACGGCUUACCAAGGCAGCGAUGCGUAGCCGACCUGAGAGGUUGAUCGGCCACACUGGAACUGGAACACGCUCCAGACUCCUACGGGAGGCAGCAGUAGGGAAUCGGCCGCAAUGGGCGAAAGCCUUACGGAGCAACGCCGCGUGAGUGAUGAAGGUCUUCGGAUCGUAAAACUCUGUUAUUAGGGAAAAACAAAUGUGUAAGUAGCUAUGCACGUCUUGACGGUACCUAAUCAGAAAGCCCCGGCUAACUACGUG